UCCGUCCCUGAAUAAUCUUCCUUUCAACAAACUUUCAAUUCUUUCUUUCCUUUCCUUCUUUCCUUUCAAUCCAAAUCCCUUCCCUCUCCCCUCUCCCAAACGGAAUCAUGGGGACUGAUAUAUCAGAGCCGUUGCUUCUGCCCGAUUCUAGCAAAAUCCAGGCCGUUGACGCCGAGCGGAUCCCAGAGUGGAAGGAUCAGAUCACGAUUAGAGGCCUUGUAGUUAGCGCCCUGUUGGGUACGCUCUUCUGCAUCAUUACCCACAAGCUCAAUCUCACCGUUGGCAUUAUCCCCUCGUUGAAUGUCGCUGCUGGUUUGCUCGGCUUCUUCUUUGUCAAGUCAUGGGUUGGAUUCUUAUCCAGUUUGGGUUUCACAAUUUCUCCCUUUACCAAACAGGAGAACACUGUUAUCCAGACCUGCGUCGUCGCUUGCUAUGGCCUCGCUUUCAGCGGAGGGUUUGGGUCGUAUUUGAUCGCAAUGGACGAGAGAACUUAUGAAUUGAUAGGUCCUGAUUACCCUGGUAACAGGGCAGAGGAUGUCAAGAACCCAGGAUUGGCCUGGAUGAUUGGAUUCUUGUUUGUUGUCAGCUUCCUUGGACUUUUUAGUCUUGUUCCCCUUCGCAAGGUUAUGGUCAUGGAUUAUAAGCUUACAUAUCCCAGUGGGACAGCUACAGCAAUGUUGAUAAAUAGCUUUCACACAAACACGGGAGCUGAGCUUGCAGGGAAACAAGUCACUUGUCUUGGAAAGCACUUGAGCAUAAGUUUGGCUUGGAGCUGCUUUAAGUGGUUCUUUAGCGGUAUUGGGGAUUCAUGUGGAUUUGACAAUUUCCCAAGUUUUGGUUUAACACUAUUCAAAAACACGUUUUAUUUUGACUUCAGUCCAACUUAUGUUGGAUGUGGUCUUAUUUGCCCUCACAUAGUCAACUGCUCAGUUCUUCUGGGGGCUAUAGUCUCGUGGGGCUUUCUGUGGCCCUUCAUCUCCCAACAUGCUGGGGACUGGUAUCCAGCUGACCUGGGUAGUAAUGAUUUUAAGGGUCUUUACGGAUACAAGGUCUUUAUAGCCAUUUCUCUUAUCCUUGGGGAUGGCCUUUACAAUUUGAUCAAGAUAAUUGCAAUAACUAUUAGGGAAAUAUGCAAUAAAAGCACCAAGGAGAAUCACCUUCCUAUCGUCAGGGAGUUUCAAGAUGGUGAGACUUCCGAAUUGCUAGUGGAACAGAGAAAGCGAGAUGAGGUAUUUCUGAAUGACAGAAUACCCUCCUGGUUUGCAGCUUCUGGAUAUGUGUGCCUGGCUGCAAUAUCAACAGCAACAAUUCCAAUCAUUUUUCCACCCCUCAAGUGGUAUUUGAUUCUCAGUUCAUACGUUAUUGCCCCUGCCC
rnacentral:misc_RNA from 1 species